UACGAGUGCCCCAAGCGUUAUCCGGAAUUACUGGGCGUAAAGGGUGUGUAGGCGGCUUAGUUAGUCAGUUGUUAAAGCUCCCGGCUUAACCGGGAAAGUGCAACUGAAGCGGCUAAACUAGAGAGUGCGAGGGGUCUACGGAACUCAUGGUGUAGGAGUGAAAUCCGUUGAUAUCAUGGGGAACACCAAAAGCGAAGGCAAUAGACUAGCGCAUUACUGACGCUGAAACACGAAAGCGUGGGGAUCAAACGGG
rnacentral:rRNA from 1 species